rnacentral:rRNA from 1 species
UGCAAGUCGAGCGAACAGACGAGGAGCUUGCUCCUCUGACGUUAGCGGCGGACGGGUGAGUAACACGUGGAUAACCUACCUAUAAGACUGGGAUAACUUCGGGAAACCGGAGCUAAUACCGGAUAAUAUAUUGAACCGCAKGGUUCAAUAGUGAAAGACGGUUUUGCUGUCACUUAUAGAUGGAUCCGCGCCGCAUUAGCUAGUUGGUAAGGUAACGGCUUACCAAGGCAACGAUGCGUAGCCGACCUGAGAGGGUGAUCGGCCACACUGGAACUGAGACACGGUCCAGACUCCUACGGGAGGCAGCAGUAGGGAAUCUUCCGCAAUGGGCGAAAGCCUGACGGAGCAACGCCGCGUGAGUGAUGAAGGUCUUCGGAUCGUAAAACUCUGUUAUUAGGGAAGAACAAAUGUGUAAGUAACUAUGCACGUCUUGACGGUACCUAAUCAGAAAGCCACGGCUAACUACGUGCCAGCAGCCGCGGUAAUACGUAGGUGGCAAGCGUUAUCCGGAAUUAUUGGGCGUAAAGCGCGCGUAGGCGGUUUUUUAAGUCUGAUGUGAAAGCCCACGGCUCAACCGUGGAGGGUCAUUGGAAACUGGAAAACUUGAGUGCAGAAGAGGAAAGUGGAAUUCCAUGUGUAGCGGUGAAAUGCGCAGAGAUAUGGAGGAACACCAGUGGCGAAGGCGACUUUCUGGUCUGUAACUGACGCUGAUGUGCGAAAGCGUGGGGAUCAAACAGGAUUAGAUACCCUGGUAGUCCACGCCGUAAACGAUGAGUGCUAAGUGUUAGGGGGUUUCCGCCCCUUAGUGCUGCAGCUAACGCAUUAAGCACUCCGCCUGGGGAGUACGACCGCAAGGUUGAAACUCAAAGGAUUGACG